ensembl:lncRNA
AGAUUCCCUUGUGUGCAGGAGGGCUGUGUGUAGUUCUGCAUUCCCCUGCAGAAGAUGCAAGUUGAUAUAAGGCUAUCUGUGGGCUGUGGAGCUACAAGCUGGAAGCCAAAAGAGAGGAGAAUCAGAUGUGGAGCACCUAUUAAGUACAGCUAGACAAAUGCAAAUCAGAUAGGGCAAGUGGUGUUUAGCUGUCCAGGAAAAUAGUGAGCAAGACCUAAUGCAUUAUAGAAGAGGAGGAAGCAAUCUGAUGGCUUCUUGGCUAUGCAGAGGCUCACCGCUGCCGCCAUUUUGGCUGCUCACCUCAAUGGAAGAGCACACCUGCCUCCUCAGCACGGCAUGUCAGAGGGAACGCCAGCUUUUCCCCUCUUUCACCAGCAGAUACCCGGCUUCUUUGUCAUAAGGCACAUGUCACCUGCAGUUAAAAUCAAAGCAAGCAGAGCAGGGGCUGCCCAGAGCAUAUGCUUUUAAAUAAAAAGGAAACCAGAAUGAUGAAACUCUGCUGCAUGGAGGGCAUCUUUGUCACACACGUGGAAGGUCAACACAGUGGGGAGAUAAAGGGAUAUAUGCUGAAGGAACUGUGUAGAUGACAGUGACAGACAAGAAACCAGCAUCCAGUGAUUGAACUGAGCAUGAAAAGGCAACACAGGAGGUUUUGUCAAAGAGCAGAACACCGUGCAGAAAAGGGACUGCUCCUGCCUGCACAAGAACAGCCAGACCUUAGAGGCUUCAUGGCACAAUCCAAGCUGCUGUCAUAGAGUACUUUAACCAUAAAUUAAACUUCAGGAAUGCAGAACAAGGAUCAACUAUAUUUCAAAUUGACCCUAAGUGAGAUACCAAUAUAAGUAUUGUAAUAUAGCUAAUGACCUGCAGAUUCUUCAUAUAACAAGAGAAGCCCACAUAAUUUUGCAUGCUUGCAAAACAGUACCUACCCAUUUUCUUCAUUUGCAUGACAAACUGUAGUACUAAAAUCCUGAUUCAUAUUAAUUCAAUACUAGAGUAUUACUGAUGUAAAACUACUGAUUUAGUAUUAUGAAAUUGAUUAAUAAA